GCUCAUCGAAAUCAACCAAUGAAAUCGAUCGGACCACCAAAUGAUCUUAAUAAACGUCAAUCACUCUACACAACGGUAGAUGCCCUCAAGACUCGAAAGUGAAAGGAAGAAUGAGUAGAAGUCUACAUAUUCGAUUUGAUAAUAUCAAUGUUGACGGAUUUGAGAUUAUUGACGCUUGUCUACCAUUAUUUGAAUCUAUAACGCAAGAUGUGAAGAAAGUUGAC